rnacentral:rRNA from 1 species
UACGUAGGUGGCAAGCGUUGUCCGGAUUUACUGGGUGUAAAGGGCGUGCAGCCGGAGAGACAAGUCAGAUGUGAAAUCCACGGGCUCAACCCGUGAACUGCAUUUGGAACUGUGUGGCUAGAGUGUCGGAGAGGCAGGCGGAAUUCCUAGUGUAGCGGUGAAAUGCGUAGAUAUUAGGAGGAACACCAGUGGCGAAGGCGGCCUGCUGGACGAUGACUGACGUUGAGGCUCGAAAGCGUGGGGAGCAAACAGG